UGAUCCUGGCUCAGGAUGAACGCUGGCGGCGUGCCUAACACAUGCAAGUCGAGCGAGAAGUAAAGAAAUGAAGCUUCGGUAGAUUUUCAUUAUGGAAAGCGGCGGACGGGUGAGUAACGCGUAGGCAACCUGCCCUGUACAGGGGGAUAGCCACCCGAAAAGGUGAUUAAUACCCCAUGAUGCAAGAGAUACACAUGUAUCACUUGUCAAAGAUUUAUCGGUAUGGGAUGGGCCUGCGUCUGAUUAGCUAGUUGGUAGGGUAACGGCUUACCAAGGCAACGAUCAGUAGCCGACCUGAGAGGGUGAUCGGCCACAUUGGAACUGAGACACGGUCCAAACUCCUACGGGAGGCAGCAGUGGGGAAUAUUGCACAAUGGGGGGAACCCUGAUGCAGCAACGCCGCGUGAAGGAAGAAGGCCUUCGGGUUGUAAACUUCUGUCCUAGGGGAAGAAACAAAUGACAUUACCCUUGGAGGAAGCCCCGGCUAACUACGUGCCAGCAGCCGCGGUAAUACGUAGGGGGCGAGCGUUAUCCGGAAUUAUUGGGCGUAAAGAGUGCGUAGGUGGCAUCUUAAGCGCAGGGUUUAAGGCAAUGGCUCAACCAUUGUUCGCCUUGCGAACUGGGGUGCUUGAGUGCAGGAGGGGAAAGUGGAAUUCCUAGUGUAGCGGUGAAAUGCGUAGAUAUUAGGAGGAACACCAGUGGCGAAGGCGACUUUCUGGACUGUUACUGACACUGAGGCACGAAAGCGUGGGGAGCAAACAGGAUUAGAUACCCUGGUAGUCCACGCCGUAAACGAUGAGCACUAGGU
rnacentral:rRNA from 1 species